GACCACGGGACCACAGGACCACCGGACCACGUGCUACUGUCUCGUGAGUCGUGCAGUUGGGUCCAGGUCCAAGUCCUUGUCCCGGUGUGACACUAGCAGUGGCUAUGAGUUCAUACGAGUGAUGUCCCCAGAUCCAGAAGUUCAGAUCAAUAUUUCACACUUUGAAACGUCGAGGAACGUAGAGGAAAUAAAGCGAAACUGUGACGUCCGAGAGCGAAGAAUGGCUGUGGGAUACUUCCCGUCAGGUUUCCACACCCACUGGUUUGAUGACAAGCCCCGCCCUCAUGGCGUUCACCUGUGUUCAGCUCAGCACACCUGCAGUAACAGUUCCAGCAUGUUUCCCUGGUCAGAUGCUUGUUUUCUUUGACUCUCUGAUUUUGAACUUUAACACGGGAGACAAAAAGUCCAAUCUAACAUGUGGUUAUUACGGUAAUUUGAAGCGCGCUGUUACAGGAAGUCGGAGAAUCAGCGUAUUUGUCGCCAGAAAGGAAAGAGUUGGGAAAACACGGCUGUAAUUAAUGUCCAAAAAGAGGCCAAAAAACAUAGAAACUGAGACACAAACUCAAACAAAUGUUACUUUAAAUAGGUUUCAUACUGUUCUUAUUUCAAAUUUAACACA